ensembl:snoRNA LOC120094009 small nucleolar RNA SNORA17
UAUGCCCUUAAUGAAAUUGUGGGUGUAGCUGCUGUGUCACAUGUCCUUUAUUCAGUAGUUGGAAGAGAGUAGAGAGGCUAUGGCUACACUCAGUGUUCUGACCUGUGAACACUGAAAAAAGCAAGCCCGAGAUG